UCGAAUUUUUUCCGUCAUGCUUUUGUCGUACAUAUUUAGAUGGUGUUGGGUUCGGGGAAUCCGGUGAAAAUCCGGAACAGACCCCGCUACUGUAACCGGGUACCAAGUUUCUACAAAGCCACUGGCGCAGGACGCCGGGAAGGCGGAAACGAGGGCCAAUCCGGGAGUCAGGAUAUCCGGCCUUGAAAAAGGACCUUU
rnacentral:ncRNA from 2 species